GUCGGUUUCACCGAGUUUCAAGUAAUACAGUCACAUACAGCAAUAUCUCUGGAGGAUGACAUUCAAAAACUCUCGCUCACGACACCAUCUUGGCCGCGCCCCCGGACUUCCGUCAUUCAAACUUCACAGAGAACAGUUCUGGAAACAAUGGGCCUGCAGAGGAAGGUCGAGCCCAGCAGGCCAGAACCAAGUGGGACCAUUUAAAGAACAAGAACAAAGUAGCUGCAGGGUUGCUAAUAUCCAGGGACAGGAGAGGGUCAUUGGGAGGCCCAGCACUGCUACUGUGUCCUGGUGUGUCCUCAUGGAUGAGGUGUUAGGACAGAGGUCUUCCACUGGCCCCCCCGUCCUAACUGCCUCCAUCCCUGAGGACACACCAAGGCCAGGUGAACAGGAGGAGGAGGAGGAUGAUGAUGAUGAGGCGGAGGAGAGCCAGCCAAAGCCGAGGAGGAAGAGGAGGAGGGAGGAUGAAGGAGGACAUGAGACUGCAGAGAGGAUGCUGAGACUCUUCUCUUGCACAUUAUGGCCAAUCGUUAAAUUGUUUCCAUUAUUAUUUACUUAAUUUAUGAGUUCUUUUUAAAUUGUUUGUUCAUAAUUGUUCAUUUUAUAUAAUUCAUGAAAUGAUAUAUUGUUCUAUUGUUACACGUUGUCUAUUCCAUUCAGUAUUUACAACUUAAGUACAAUUUAUAACAGGGUUAGCAAACGGCACCAAGUGCUACUUUUCAGGGACAACAGUUGCAUUAACGUUAUGUACUGGUAUGUUAAUUACCCCUUUUAGCUAGCUAAUAAUGAUAACAAUGAUAACAUUACUGUGGGUUCAAAUAACAGGUUUACCACUCCACUGUCCUCUCAACUGGAGAUAAACCAGGAAUUCCUGUAGCUCAAACAUAUUUGAGAAUCAAACUCUAGUCUUCUUGUCACUUUCGGAGGCCUAGGUGGAAUAAAUAGGGACGUAAGGGUAAGAGUGGGAACAUCUGGUGACACAACCAGAAAAUGCUCUGAAGGCUAGACCAUCCCAUUUAGCAAAGGUUGACACGGCCUUAACAGGUCUCUCCGAAGGACUCGCCUUUGAAGACUGCAAAGGCCGGGUUCUUCGACUGAUGCAGACCCUAGUUGGGACCAAGCAUUUACUAUUCAAAAGGUCAGAGGUCAACGUCACUGUGACAACAUCACCUUCAGGAACCUGACUGGAGAGGAGAUGAACGACCAUGAUUAGGAGAUUUAAUAAAACAGAAAAUCACUUUAAUGUUAAAUCCCUUUCUGUCGCUCAACUAAUUGAUUGAUCGAUUAUUGAUUUCAAGAUUGAAUUAUUUUGUCUUGUCACAUUAGGAAAUGUUUCAUUUCCACUAAACCUUCAGAUCGGCUUCAAUAUUUGAUGAUCCAUGGAAUUAUUAAAGAUGUUUAAUGUAAUAAACUUUAAAAUAAAUCAACUGAUGUCAAACAAAAACUCAAAUCAGCUUUACAUGUCAGCUCAUUGAUAUUAGAGUGACAGUCAGCUCAUUGAUAUUAGAUUAUUGAUAAGGUCCAUUAUUGUUUGAGUUUUCAUUUGUUGUCUUCCAACAACAAUAUCUUUGGGUUUGCUAACAAUCUAAAUAAACAGCUACAUUAUGUUAUAUAUUAUAAACACACCUGAACAGAAUCUUAAAGUGAAACUCUCGCCAAAAAGCAACCAAGGCUUUACUUGCAAUUGAAUAUGAGUGAAACCUUCGUGUAAAAACAUAUUUACGUCAAAAGAGGCAGUUUUAAGAUUUACCAUAGUUUUGUUUUUGGGCAAGAUAAUUUUCAAUUUUUUAACAUUCUUUUUUAUUUCAGUUCAAUUUGGAUGUUACAUCUUGAACAUAUCUGAAAUAUUUUACAUUGAAUGUAGUAAAUUACUUAAAAUAAAGGCACAAAAGACAAAAAGGAAAAGUAAUAAAUACAAAAAAGGAAACAAUAAGAAAAAAAAAAAAAUCACAUAUAGGGGAGGGGGCGACCACUGACUAAAAGUUGUAGUAACCUUACGGUGAAUGAUGACAACGUUAUGCCACAGAGUAUAUGUCUCUACUUAGUCUAAGGAUAGUGUGAUAUGUGCCUUGACAUAAUCCAGAAAAGGUCCCCAUAUCUUAUUGUAGUUUUUUGCUGAUCCUUUCAGAGAGUAUCUCAUAUUUUCAAGUAAAGUACCUCCUUGACCCAGUGUGUAAAUGUUGGGGGUUUACAGUCCUUCCAUUUGAUCAAAAUCAGCUUGUCUGAUCAGGAGCAUGAGGAAUGCAACACUAUUUGAUUGUACCCUAGUUAGACCUAAAUGAUCAGGUGCAACCCCAAAUAACCCAACUAAAGGGCAUGGUGAAAUAGAUGUCCCAGGAAGCCUGACAUUAUAUCAAAGAUGGAUGCCCAGUAAUGAUUUAGCUUUGGGCAAGACCAGAACAUUUGUGAUGCUGGAUUGCACUUACAUCAAUCACAUAAUGAGUCUGCAUCAUGUUUAAACAAUCUGAGUUUAGUCCGAUGGAUGUGAUGCAAUGUCUUAAAUUGUAGCAACCCAUGUCUUGCACAGACUGAUAAUCUAUGAACUCUGCUCAAGGCAGUCUCCCAAGAUUCGUCACAAAUGUGUUCCCCAUGUUCACCUUCCCAUUGAGAGGGUAAAUGUGCAGAUUUAGAGAACAGGUCGAGGAGAAACAACCUAAGGAUCAUCAGCGGUGCAGAAGGGGAAGAGGGCAAAACUCCCCUUUUAGAGCAUUUACUGUAACUUCCACCUCGGCUAAGCUAUUGCUAGUCUUUGUGGCGGAGUCCUCCACAGUGGCUAGUCUUUCCUCUUGGAGAUUUAUGGUCUGCUGUAGGGCUCUUGUAGUUUUACUCAGCUCUGACUUGACAGCGUCAAUAUCAACUUGGAGUCCCUUAACUGAGUUACAGAUGUCCGCUUUCAAAGACUAUAUUAUGUCUCUGGGCAUAGUUGCUGUUACCUCCUCUUCCUUGCUAGCAUGAAUGGUUUGGCUAGCAGAAGCAGAAGCUCCCUGCGGUGUUUUUGCCUUAAGUUUGCCUGUACCCCACAUUCUUGGGCCUGAGAACUUAAAGUUUUUGCUUCAGAAUGUGCAAUAAAUGUCCCGCAACUAUUUCAAAGUGAGACAUUGGCUAAAUGGUCUUUUUUGAUUGACUGAAAUUCCACCUGUUGAGAGCUGCUGAAUUUCACGUCUGCAUCUC